rnacentral:rRNA from 1 species
CUAUACAUGCAUGUCGAACGAAGUAGCUUGCUACUUAGUGGCGAAUGGGUGAGUAACACGUGCUUAAUCUACCUUUUAGAUUGGGAUAACAGUUGGAAACGAUUGCUAAUACCGGAUAGGUGAUUUCUCGCAUGAGAAAAACAUGAAAGGAGCGUUUGCUCCACUAGAAGAUGAGAGUGCGCAACAUUAGUUAGUUGGUAAGGUAAUGGCUUACCAAGACUAUGAUGUUUAGCCGGGUUGAGAAACUGACCGGCCACACUGGGACUGAGAUACGGCCCAGACUCCUACGGGAGGCAGCAGUAGGGAAUAUUCCACAAUGAGCGAAAGCUUGAUGGAGCGACACAGCGUGCACGAUGACGGCCCUCGGGUUGUAAAGUGCUGUUAUUAGGGAAGAACAUUUGAUAGAGGAAAUGCUAUCAAACUGACGGUACCUGAUCAGAAAGCGAUGGCUAACUAUGUGCCAGCAGCCGCGGUAAUACAUAGGUCGCAAGCGUUAUCCGGAAUUAUUGGGCGUAAAGCGUUCGUAGGUUGUUUAUUAAGUCUGAAGUUAAAGCCUGGGGCUCAACCCCAGCCCGCUUUAGAUACUGGUAAACUAGAGUGAGAUAGAGGUAAGCGGAAUUCCAUGUGAAGCGGUGAAAUGCGUAGAUAUAUGGAAGAACACCAAAGGCGAAGGCAGCUUACUGGGUCUAUACUGACACUGAGGGACGAAAGCGUGGGGAGCAAACAGGAUUAGAUACCCUGGUAGUCCACGCUGUAAACGAUGAUCAUUAGUCGGUGGAGAAUUCACUGACGCAGCUAACGCAUUAAAUGAUCCGCCUGAGUAGUAUGCUCGCAAGAGUGAAACUUAAAGGAAUUGACGGGGACUCGCACAAGCGGUGGAGCAUGUGGUUUAAUUUGAAGAUACGCGGAGAACCUUACCCACUCUUGACAUCUUCCGCAAAGCUAUAGAGAUAUAGUGGAGGUUAACGGAAUGACAGAUGGUGCAUGGUUGUCGUCAGCUCGUGUCGUGAGAUGUUAGGUUAAGUCCUGCAACGAGCGCAACCCCUAUUUUCAAUUACUAACAGGUAAUGCUGAGGACUUUGGAGAUACUGCCUGGGUAACCAGGAGGAAGGUGGGGAUGACGUCAAAUCAUCAUGCCUCUUAUGAGUGGGGCGACACACGUGCUACAAUGGUCGGUACAAAGAGAAGCAAUACGGUGACGUGGAGCAAAUCUCAAAAAGCCGAUCUCAGUUCGGAUUGAAGUCUGCAACUCGACUUCAUGAAGUCGGAAUCGCUAGUAAUCGCAGGUCAGCCAUACUGCGGUGAAUACGUUCUCGAGUCUUGUACACACCGCCCGUCACACCAUGGGAGCUGGUAAUGCCCGAAGCCGGUUAGUUAACUUCGGAGACGACUUCUAAG